GGGUAAAGUUAGUGAGAAGGAGCACAAAGUACAUACAGUCUUAUUGUCUACCUGGAAAGCAGUGGCCAUGUAUGUCAUGAGGACAUUCCAGUAACCCUAUGUGGUAAGGAACCGAGUCAGCCUGCCAACAAAAACUGCCACUGAAAAACUGAGCCCUCCUGCUGACAGCCAUGUGAGAGGAACACCUGGGAAGUGGAUCCUCCAGGCCUGGUCAUACUUCAGAUGACUGCAGCCCAAGCCAACAUCUUGCUUGAGUGGAGCCUCAUGAGUGACUCAGUCAAAACCACACAGCUGAGAUAUUUCCAACCCACAGAUACUGAGAUAAUAAAUGUUUAUUGCUACUAGGUUUCCUUCCUUCCUUCCUUCCUUCCUUUCUUUUCUCUUCUCCUUCCUUCCUUCCUUUCUUUUCUCUUCUCCUUCCUUCCUUCCUUUCUUUUCUCUUCUCCUUCCUUCCUUCCUCCCUCCCUCUCCUCCUCCUCCUUCAUCUUCUUCCUCUUCUUCCUCUUCCCCUUCCCCUUCCUCUUCCUCCUUCUUUCUUUCUUACUUUCUUUCUCUUUCUUUCUUUCUUUCUCUAUGAAAAUAUCAGGUGUACUAUAUUUUACCUGCCUUCAUGUAUACUUGAAUAAUUC
rnacentral:lncRNA from 1 species